rnacentral:rRNA from 1 species
AGAGUUUGAUCCUGGCUCAGAUUGAACGAUGGCGGCAGGCCUAACACAUGCAAGUCGAGCGGAAACGAGUUAUCUGAACCUUCGGGGAACGAUAACGGCGUCGAGCGGCGGACGGGUGAGUAAUGCCUAGGAAAUUGCCCUGAUGUGGGGGAUAACCAUUGGAAACGAUGGCUAAUACCGCAUAAUACCUACGGGUCAAAGAGGGGGACCUUCGGGCCUCUCGCGUCAGGAUAUGCCUAGGUGGGAUUAGCUAGUUGGUGAGGUAAUGGCUCACCAAGGCGACGAUCCCUAGCUGGUCUGAGAGGAUGAUCAGCCACACUGGAACUGAGACACGGUCCAGACUCCUACGGGAGGCAGCAGUGGGGAAUAUUGCACAAUGGGCGCAAGCCUGAUGCAGCCAUGCCGCGUGUGUGAAGAAGGCCUUCGGGUUGUAAAGCACUUUCAGUCGUGAGGAAGGUAGUGUAGUUAAUAGCUGCAUUAUUUGACGUUAGCGACAGAAGAAGCACCGGCUAACUCCGUGCCAGCAGCCGCGGUAAU